UAGGCCUCAGUAUCUGGCCGAAUAAA
rnacentral:misc_RNA from 1 species